rnacentral:rRNA from 1 species
AGAUUGAACGCUGGCGGCAGGCCUAACACAUGCAAGUCGAGCGGCAGCACGGGUACUUGUACCUGGUGGCGAGCGGCGGACGGGUGAGUAAUGCCUAGGAAUCUGCCUGGUAGUGGGGGAUAACGCUCGGAAACGGACGCUAAUACCGCAUACGUCCUACGGGAGAAAGCGGGGGACCUUCGGGCCUCGCGCCAUUAGAUGAGCCUAGGUCGGAUUAGCUAGUUGGUGAGGUAAUGGCUCACCAAGGCGACGAUCCGUAACUGGUCUGAGAGGAUGAUCAGCCACACUGGGACUGAGACACGGCCCAGACUCCUACGGGAGCAGCAGUAGGAAUAUGGACAAUGGGCGCAAGCCUGAUCCAGCAAUGCCGCGUGAGCGAUGAAGGCCUUAGGGUGUAAGCUCUUUACCGA